AUAUAGAGAACGGAAGGCACCCAGAGUUGUACAUCAAGUACUCAGUGGAGGACCUUGAGACGUCUGUCACAGAUUUCUUUGAGGGCUGUCCACCUUCGCUACAUAACAGGAGAAGAUCCCAUGGAUGAGAUGACUUCAAGACUCAAAAGAUCUUUUACUGUUGACUGAUGAGUGUUGUUGCCUAGUUUUCUACAGUGCUCUGGGAAAAGCGACACUUGAGGGUAUAGUUGGUGAUGAUUUCUUCUACUAGAGGUAAUCUGAAACAGGAUCAGGAUCUUAUUGAAACUGUUAAAUUCCUUAGUGGUUCUUCCUUUUAUAACCAACCCUGUUCGUUUGUUACACUAUCAUUAUAUCUUUCAUGAUUAGGGCCCUGUUUAGAGGCAUUUAAAAUGACAAAUGGCAAAUGGCAAAAGUUUUGACAUUGCAUUUUUGCAAGUUGGUGUUUAGAGGCAUGUAAAAGUUAACAUUUUUUUGGCAAAAGUGAGAGGUGGUCCGCAUCCCUAUGCACCUUUUGGUGAAAUUUACUACUCUAGACUGCCAAAUACCAAAUGCAAACUUGCCAUUUUCUUACCCUAGUGUUUAGAUCCAUUUUGCCAAAAAGUACUUCAAAAUGACAAAACUUCUGUCAUUUUGAAGGAUCUAAACAGGGCCUAGCUUGUUCAUAUAGGUCUGUUCUUUCAGAAUGUUUCAUAGUUGUAACAUCAUGGUAUUUGUUUGACACUUAACUGAGUGUCUUGUCACCUUUUUGGUUGUUCAGAUAUAUAUCAAGAUUGCACUUGAUAGAUUAGAUGUAAAAGAUUUGUGUUCCUGGGUUUCAUCUAUGUAAAAUUAUGGCCAUAAAGUCUCAGUUUUGAGGUUCCCAUGCUCGGUCUCUUUUCAAGUGUAUUUUCCAGAGGGCUACUGAUGUAACUUCCUAGUUUGGACUAGGGCUAAUGCUAACAUAAAAAGAAAAGGACAGUAAAUCCCCAUUUAAAAAUAACAGUGCUAUUUUAUCAUGGAUUAUUGUAUUAGCGCGAGGUAAAUCAUGUUAUUUUAUGUUUGUGCAUGGCAAAUUGCUUACUUCCUCGAUCUACUAUGAAUGUGGUAGAUUUUUCUUCCUGAUAAAAUGCCUCAAUGAUUAUCAUUGAGAGAAGUUCUGUUUUCAGGAUUAGUUUAGAUAUUAUCAUACCAACAAAAGAUACUGCGUUGAUAAUUCAGAUUCUGUUGUUCGGUUGGGGUGAGCUAAGCAAUUUAUAAGAAUUUCCAAGUUGUUGACUAACGAGUCUUUAUAUAAGAAAAGUUCACAUGUACUUCUUUGUGCCUGCUGAUUACUUAAGAGCUGUUUCUAUUGGUUAUGUGCUGGGUAAUAACUAAUAAGGAAGUAAUAAAAAUCACUUGUAAGUUGUAAAUCGGUUGUUUCUCUUGUUAUGCCAGAAUUGUUUCGACAUAACUUUGUUCUUAGAUGGCUGAAUAGCAUUUCCUAGAAUGUAUACAGCUAACCCUGGACUUGAAAAGAAAUAGUUGCAGAAGGUGGAGAUUGGUAGCUAUGGUGCGAUGUAAAUUGGACACGGACAGCAUGUGCUUGGUAUGUUUAAGAGCCGGGGAAAUGAUUGGCUGUUCAUGAGGAUGCAAUUCAGAUUUCUGUUAUGGUUCUCUAUUGAGUAAUGUUUGGUCGCGGACUCGCUGUAAUGCUGUUAAGCAGUGAGCUGUAUGGAUGUGGCAUUGAAAGUGUGAUGGUUUCUCGCUUGACUAUUCUGGUUCCGUGUCAUUCUUUUCUCGCUUAUUAAUAAGGCUACUAAUCUUUGCACGGUUAUGCUGUCAGAAGUGUUAGCUGAGAUUGUUAAAACUUCACUGUCAUAUUUCACAUUACUAAUCCUACGUCCCUUCUAUUGAAUCAAGCUGUGUUAUGUGUGACUGUGAGUUUGUUGCCCCAUCUACACGUCAUAGGAAGGCUGAAAUGCAUGAAAUUUGUGUAGUUUCUGCAGCAACUGACGCAUCAUAGGUGACAACAAAAUAGUUGCAACUGCCGCCUCAGCCGUUGCUUGUUACAACUGUACUUGGGUAUAUAAGUAGAUCCAAAAUAGCAGUAGUUAAGACACGGAUGGAUCUAUGAUACCGAUUUCAUGGUUUGGAAGCAUAACAAUUAUUCGGCGAGCCAGCUAUUGGUUCGGCCGAUUGGUGCUGUAAGCCAUGAACAGUCAUAGAUGACGUGAAUAUGGCGAGCAUGGACUAAUUUUACGAGGUGGAUUCAAUCCGUAUACCCUCUCCGUCCUAAAAAAAAACUUUAUUUUUAAUAUAUUCAAAUAUACCUACACAAAACUGAAUGUUCUUCAUUCUUUCAAAUCUUAUAUUUGUCCCACCAUUUUUCAAGUCCCAUAACAUUUGUCACCUACUUUACUGAUUCCAAAUACAAUAAUUAUUUAAAAGAUAAAGUUUUAUAGGACAAAACAGAGAAACUUUAGAACAAACGAGAAAACCUAAAAAUAAAGUCUUUUGACAAAAUGAGUAUCUAUAAGGACCUAGAUAUGAAACAAUAUUAAAUGCUUAUUUUUAAUCACUAUGCAUACAUUAUAUAAAAAAUUUCAUUGGUUAACUGAUUUGAUUUCUUUUGGUGGACCAUGCUCAUUUGGGUUCAAGUUCUAGACUUAGGACAUGCAUUCGUAUAGUCAAUCAUUCUUUCAGUGUUAUGCAACAUAUCUAUUUACAAUGAGACGUUCGUGACGACUUCACCAAUUUCAAGGUAUAUCAAGCUUUUCGGUAAGAUGCACACAUGUUGAGUUUGUUAAUUUCAAGACAUGUCUAUAUAAUCUUCAGGAGAUAUUCAUCAGGGUAAACGUGUGCGUGUUUACAUCCGAACAUCUACAUCUAUGUUUUGCAAAUGAAAACUAAAAAAAAACAUUGCACAAUAAGUUUCCAAAACUCAUCGGUGCACAAAGCUAGCACAUGCAUGUGAGCAUCCAUGUAUGCACCCAUUGUAUUUUGCUCAUCCCACUACGCAGGCACGCAAAUGGACAUCGUUUAGCGGGGUUACCUGUUGUUGUUUUUUUGGGCGAAGUUGCAGCAUUUGCGCUGCCUUUCAAUUCAAACACCAUGAUAAAACACUUCUCACGUCAAGGUUGAGAGACUCGGGCAUUGGGGGCAUUGGCAUAUGCGCCGGAGCGGUCGAGAGAGGGAGGGCAGCAGCAAAGACAGCGACGAGGCGGCGACGGUCCGACACCCGCCGCUCCCGGCUCCCUCCCUUGCACGCACGCACGCACGGCUCCACUUCCUUCCGCCCCGUGAGCCGCCGCGCGCCGUGCGGCCCGUGAGUAGAGCAGAGGCAAUCCCGGCACGGCUGCUGCUUUUUUUGGGGGUGGGGGCAACCAACCGCAUCCGCGACCGCGCGCGAGCGGUCGGCGCCGUGCCGG
rnacentral:lncRNA from 1 species